GAUGAACGCUGGCGGCGUGCCUAAUACAUGCAAGUCGAGCGAACGGACGAGAAGCUUGCUUCUCUGAUGUUAGCGGCGGACGGGUGAGUAACACGUGGAUAACCUACCUAUAAGACUGGGAUAACUUCGGGAAACCGUAGCUAAUACCGGAUAAUAUUUUGAACCGCAUGGUUCAAAAGUGAAAGACGGUCUUGCUGUCACUUAUAGAUGGAUCCGCGCUGCAUUAGCUAGUUGGUAAGGUAACGGCUUACCAAGGCAACGAUGCAUAGCCGACCUGAGAGGGUGAUCGGCCACACUGGAACUGAGACACGGUCCAGACUCCUACGGGAGGCAGCAGUAGGGAAUCUUCCGCAAUGGGCGAAAGCCUGACGGAGCAACGCCGCGUGAGUGAUGAAGGUCUUCGGAUCGUAAAACUCUGUUAUUAGGGAAGAACAUCUGUGUAAGUAAUUGUACAGAUCUUGACGGUACCUAAUCAGAAAGCCCCGGCUAACUACGUG
rnacentral:rRNA from 1 species